rnacentral:rRNA from 1 species
CAGCAGCCGCGGUAAUACGAAGGGGGCUAGCGUUGCUCGGAAUUACUGGGCGUAAAGGGCGCGUAGGCGGACAGUUAAGUUGGGGGUGAAAGCCCGGGGCUCAACCUCGGAAAUGCCUUCAAUACUGGCUGUCUUGAGUACGGGAGAGGUGAGUGGAACUCCGAGUGUAGAGGUGAAAUUCGUAGAUAUUCGGAAGAACACCAGUGGCGAAGGCGACUCACUGGCCCGUUACUGACGCUGAGGCGCGAAAGCGU